GGGGUUGUAAAAGAAUGGUUACACUGUCCGCUUUGUAAGCGGAUGAUCCUGGGUUCGAUUCCCUUCAGCUCCA
rfam:Culex pipiens quinquefasciatus supercont3.15 genomic scaffold, whole genome shotgun sequence.